UGACUAGUUAGAAGUACCCCUGACAACAUGAAAUGGAAAGUUGGACACCUAAAUGAAUGGGAAUGUGUGUGCGGCUCCUGCCACUCCCAAAAUAUCUUUAGCAGCACUGAAAGCACCAUAGUCUUUGGAGCAACAGAUGAUUGAUGGAUGAUUAAUAGCUGAUUUGCUGUGCCAUUAAAAAAGGAUUCAUUUUACUUAUACACUGUAUGUAGAAUUAGUUAAGGGUUGCACAGGAAAGAAAGUGAUGAGACAUUGUUCCCAUUAAAUUAUAAUAACAGCCUUCCUAACUACUGUAUAUUUAUUAUAUAAGAAAAGGAAAUGCCUAGUAAAAUUCUGUAUAGGUUAAUAACACCUUCAUAAUAUAGUCCCUCUUUUCUAUUGACUUGAAUAGCCCUCCUACUGACUUUUACUGGAUUAUUAGAGUUAAUUACAUCAAUUGCAAUAUAAUUGAUUCUUAAAUACUAUGUAGGGCCCUCAUACAAUUAUGGAAAAACAAAAGUCAUCUAGACAUCUCAGAUCAAAAAAGAUUUGGAAUUCCUGCACAUUUAAUUCCUGAUAAUCACCAGUCAGUUUGGACAUUAAGAUUGCAGGGUCUCUUGUUUUCUUUCUGCUAGGUUUUGACAGAAUUGAUAGUUUUACAACAUUUAACUCAGUGUGCAUGGAAAUAUAAGAUUAAAGCUACGAAUGUAAUUUGCUAAAACCGUUACUUCAUCUCCCAAAAGUGAAAUGUGUUACCUGCCUGUCUAUACUAUAAUAUAAUUUGUACACACAAGCAUGCAGAAAUAUGCAUUUAUCAUUGAAGAUUGAAGUCCUUUAUCCACAGGUGCAGGAAUUCCUGUAGAUCUUGCUUGCUAAAGUCACCACGGGCCUUCAAUAUAUGACAUGAAGCAGAACUGAACACUGAUCUCCAGAGGGCCCCUACUUCGGAUCAACUCAUUAUCCCGAAUAAACGAUGUGUCAUUCCCAUUAUUUAUGUUUCACUGCAGCCAAAGUAUCUGGACCUCGUUUUGGUAAGCACCAUUCAUUUCGACCCAUUCAGUAUUAAUCUCCCUGCUAACAUCUUUCCUGUCCUAUGUGCUGUCCCCUAUUUGCUUUUAUGUUUUCCGCAGUGUUUAUAAAAGGAUAAUCUUUUACAAAGCAGACAGAAUUUUUGUGUAUAAACUGCUCUGUUUGAAUGCCUCAUUGAUAUACCAUCUAAACUGAAGUGUUCAGCAAGAUUAGUGCAUCCACUGAACUGGGUAAAAAUAUGGGAACUGCUCCUUUCUUUAUAGCGAAAAAGGGUGGCUAAUGAUGC
rnacentral:lncRNA from 1 species